CCCUUAGAUGUCCGGGGCCGCACGCGCGCUACACUGAAGGAAUCAGCGUGGCUUUCUCCCUGACCCGAAAGGGUUGGGAAACCCGUUGAAUCUCCUUCGUGAUAGGGAUUGGGGCUUGAAAUUGUUCCCCAUGAACGAGGAAUUCCCAGUAAGCGCGAGUCAUAAGCUCGCGUUGAUUACGUCCCUGCCCUUUGUACACACCGCCCGUCGCUACUACCGAUUGAACGGUUUAGUGAGGGCCUCGGAUUGGUCUCGGCCCGCUCUUUACCGGGCGGCGCCGUUGGUCGAGAAGACUCUCGAACUUGAUCGUUUAGAGGAAGUAAAAGUCGUAACA
rnacentral:rRNA from 1 species